rnacentral:rRNA from 1 species
GACGAACGCUGGCGGCGUGCUUAACACAUGCAAGUCGAACGAUGAACCGGAGCUUGCUCUGGGGAUUAGUGGCGAACGGGUGAGUAACACGUGGGCAACCUGCCCCAGACACCGGGAUAACCAUUCGAAAGGAUGGCUAAUACCGGAUACGACCACUUCGGGCAUCCGAUGGUGGUGGAAAGGAUUCUGGUCUGGGAUGGGCCCGCGGCCUAUCAGCUUGUUGGUGGGGUAAUGGCCUACCAAGGCGACGACGGGUAGCCGGCCUGAGAGGGCGACCGGCCACACUGGGACUGAGACACGGCCCAGACUCCUACGGGAGGCAGCAGUGGGGAAUAUUGCGCAAUGGGCGAAAGCCUGACGCAGCGACGCCGCGUGAGGGACGAAGGUCUUCGGAUUGUAAACCUCUUUCAGCAGGGAUGAAGCGAAAGUGACAGUACCUGCAGAAGAAGCACCGGCUAACUACGUGCCAGCAGCCGCG